rnacentral:sRNA from 1 species
ACCGGGUGUGAUGGUGCAUGCCUGUAAUCCCAGCAGCUCAGGAGGCUGAGGCAGGAGGAUUGCAAGUUUGAGGCCAGCCUCAGCAACUUAGCAAGGCCCUAAACAACUUUGUGAGACCCUGUCUCAA